UUCCUAGUGGUCCAGUGGUUUAAGACUCUGCACUUCCAAUGCAGGGUGCACAGGUUCUAUCCCUGGUCUGGGAA
rnacentral:tRNA from 1 species